UACGAAGGGGGCUAGCGUUGCUCGGAAUCACUGGGCGUAAAGGGCGCGUAGGCGGCCACCGCAAGUCGACUGUGAAAUCUCCGGGCUUAACCCGGAAAGGUCAGCCGAUACUGCGGGGCUAGAGUGCAGAAGGGGCAACUGGAAUUCUCGGUGUAGCGGUGAAAUGCGUAGAUAUCGAGAGGAACACCUGCGGCGAAGGCGGGUUGCUGGGCUGACACUGACGCUGAUGUGCGAAAGCUAGGGGAGCGAACGGG
rnacentral:rRNA from 1 species